GCCCCAGUAGUUCAACGGACAGAACAGGGCACUCCUAAGGCUCUGAUGUGGGUUCAAUUCCUGCCUGGGGCA
rnacentral:tRNA from 2 species